CAGAAGGAUAGCAAUGCAAGCACUUCUACUGUCCUUUCUGCGGGCAAGUUCCUAGGAAAGCUCACAAUGCAAUGUCAGCCAAUCGCUUGCUUGAGGUCUAACAGGAAACAGUUAUGGCAUUGUUGGCUCUCUGAGCAUAGAGCUGCCUGGACAUCUGUUCAUCUAUUUCCUGGAAAUUUUGGCUGUUUAGCAAUAAUUGGGGCUAUACUGAAAAAGAACACACUUAUGUGUGUUGAAUUGAAGGGAAACUACAUCUGUUUGUUGAGACACUUCUUCAAUGUUUUAUUGUGUGUUUGUUAAAUUUAUUAAUAUACCUACCUACUCACUAGCAGGAAGAAACUCCUGGCUCAAUGUUUCAGAAACUCAAGUAAUGGACAGAAAAGAAGGCUUGCUUUCCCAAAGACUUUGGAGCUGAAUGCCAGUUUGCUCAUCUCGACAGAGAUGCUACUGAGGAAGGGCCUUUUCAUCUUCCCGACAGGGAUCAUACUGCAAAGCAAGAGAACUGGAAGCUUGCCAUCCAAGCAAUUUAGGCUGUGUCUCCCAGUUCAAAAGAAACUUUCAGAAAAUAAAUAUUUCUUGCCA
rnacentral:lncRNA from 1 species